UUUUUUUUUUUUUUGCCCUCGAGGACUCAGUGGGGUAUCUGCAGGCGCCGCGCCCAGAGGCGGGGGCUUCCUCUUGCUCGACACCCCAUAUUUCUCGGACACCCCAGGCUUUUCGCCGCCCAACCCGGGCUCGGCGCCCUAGGCGGCCGCCCACUUUAGCGCAAACAGCCGAGCCGCCUGGAAAGCAGGACUCCGCGACGCGGGUGGAAGAAGCCUGGCGGCGGCGGCGGUUUUUCUACUGGAACAGAGUAGGGGCGCUCGGGGGGCAGACCCGGAGAGGUGCAUUUGCACCAAGUGUGCGUAAUGUCACCAGCAUUGUUUGCCUCUUAGCUAGAAGGGCGGGGAACGGGCUUCCCCGCUGGUGUCCAUCACCGAGCAGGCCGUGCGCAGUUCGGAGACAACCACCCCGGACCGGUCUUCGCUCCGGACUCCGGGUGGGGACAGCGCGGGAGGCAGCCACAUGCACACACCUUCUGGGGACCUCCCAAGAUCUGCAACGUGCCAAGGGCAAAAACCGAAUUCCGAUCCGGAGCAGAUGCGGGGACAGCGGGCUUGGAAACCUCUCUCCGGGGAUGGUUUCACCCAGAAGCUUCGGCUCCUUCCUAGAAUUUCUAGAAGCUAUUUGGAGGGGCCGGCGGCUUCCGGCCCGGCCCCAAGGAAUUUGAGACCUUGGCCUGCCGGCGCGAGCGCAACGAAAGCGUGGAGAGGCGACCGGGUCGCAUUCCCAGCCAUGCCUCCCCGGCUAGGCGCGGGCCCCACCGCGGCGCCCCAGGAAGCGCAUCGGAAAACAAAGCGCUGCGGUUUCAGCCCAAGGUUAAAGUCCACCGCGAGCGUUUUUUUCCCCCCGGAAUCUGAGAGCGCUAGCGUUCCUCCAAAUAAACCGCCAAUAAAUCAGCUCCGGGGGCGCCUCUGCAGGGCUUCAGUGACCUUGGGGGAUGGCUUUCCUGCCAGACCCGUCCGAGGACAGGCAUGGGCGGGGGGACAAUGUUAUCCCUCCCCCGUCCAGAGAAGGGCGGAAGAGAGGACAGCCAAGGGCAUUCGUGGGUGUUUAUUGUGGUCCGCAUGGACCCGGAGGGGCUGGGGGGUGGGGAGACCGGUUAAUUGUGGGGUGCAAAGUGCCAGGUUGUGAAAGAAUUUGUGAUUGUGGGAGACUGGCAGUUUGGGGAUGCUGCGUGUUUGGGGGAGGUGGUACUUGUGCUCAUCCGACAAAUCUGCCCCUGCGCCGGGCACUGUUCUAGGAUGUGGUGAUAGAGCCAAGCAGGCCACACCAGGCCUCUUUGGGGCCCUCAUCCUUUGUCUGGGUGUGCCUGGGUGUGUUCGGCGGGUGAGUGUGUACAGAGUGUGACUAAUGGGAUUUAUGGAUGUCACUGCGAGAGCGACUAAUGGAGGGCUUUGCUGCACGCGUAUUUGGGGAGGGGCGCCGCACCUAUGUGGGGAAUCCGCGCCCCAGGAGGGGCUGCCUGGUCGCUUAGAGGCUCCCUCCACGCCACCGCCCGCUCCAAGCUUUGUUGGGGCCUGGGCAGCGGUCCCGGGCAGGUUAGUGCCUGUGCAGGGUUGUGGGGCACAUUCCACUACAGCCUGUCCCCUGAGGCCCCUCAGUCCCGCCUCCUUGACCCACGUGGCCUCUCCAAAGCAAGCCGUCCCACCUCCUUCCUUAGCUGAGCCCUCCCAGUUUCCUCUUUUUAGGUCUGCAAAUUCCUUUAGAGGCAAAGGGCAUCCUGCUUGGGGCAGGCUUUGCUGACCAAUUGAUUUGGGUACUGUCAUACCCAUUUCACAGAUGGGAAAUCUAAAGUGCAGAAAGGAAAAGUGAGGCAGCUAAACUCACACAGCUAGGAAGUGGCAGCCAACCAGCACCCUCAACCAAUCUGCCUUCCCUUACCAGGUGGGGGAGUGGGGAUACAUGUGUGAAGUCCCAGCUCCCCUCCCAGAUCUGAUGGAGACUACACUAACACCUUGCACCUUGGUUUACUGCCCUUCCCCAUCAAUCCUUCCUACUCUAACUUCCAUCUGUUCGAGGCAACCCAGAUGUCAGCCGGAGUCUCUGAUUGGCCUGGGAGAGGGGUGCAGGGGUAGGAUGGUUGUCUAUACCUGGUAUUCCAAGAUGGAGGCACCAGCUGGGUAGAAACCCAGGUAGGAGGAGCAGGAGUUCAGAAGGGCUUGAGAUUCCACAGAUUCAGGCUCAGGAAACACCUGGAGAAUGGAGUUUCUCAUCUCCCUUUGGAUUUCUGAUUUCCGACACAAUCUCUGCGUGUUCACGCAGGUGCUAUUUCUGCUAUUUUCGCACACAUUCUGUCCCCCAUAUCUGUGCCCCAUCACAGACCCCCUCAUCAUAGGGACCCUGAGACUCAGAAGUGGAGUGACCUUUCCAAGGUCACCCAGCAUCGUGGCAGCCACCAAGCCAUACCAGGGCUCUGCCCAGCUCUCUCCACCUCUGGGUAGGAACAGAGACAGGUACCCCCUGGUCUGUGAUGGCAUCUCUGGGAUGGGAGGAGCGGCAGGGCCUGACCCUUCUUCCCAGAUCUCCAGGAGGCCUCCCUACCCAACAGGCUCUAGGGAAAACUCACUCACUCACACUCUCUCUAUCACCUCCCUCCCUCCCGUUUUUUUCUUUUUCUUUUUUUUUUUUUAAUCCUCCUUUGGCAUUUUCUUUCAAGCUGAAAAUAAAAACAUUUCCCAUGGCUACAGCUUUGAAAGCUCCCCUCUCCCUUCCGCCGCCAUCUCAUCCCCUCAUCAAUCCAUUUCCAAAGCCAGCAUUUUAAAGUCAAGAGCAAACCCGCAAAGAUCAAGCCUGACAGGCCCCCUUCCCACUUCCCUCCACUUUCUCUUCAUGUCUGGGUCUGUCUUCAGCCUGAGAUGAGCAGGAGGAAGGCCUCCCCCACCAGCACACGCACACACACGCUCUCGCCCACGUCUGCCCAGCUUCUGUGGCCACAGGCAGCCUUUCCAGAACCUUCUUGAGCUGCUCCUGCAGGAAAGACCUGCUCGCUUCUUUCCUUCUGGAAGUGUCUGGGUUUCCCCUCCACAUUUUCUUGUCUGGCCCACCUCCCUUGGGCUCUCCUUUAGGAUGUCAUCCCAAAUUUAAGUGCCUAUAGGAAUCGGGCCACCACCCAUCUGUCAGUUUGUCAUACUGUGGUAACUUAUGUAUUGCUGUGAUGCUGGAAGCUAUGCCACUGGUAUUUCAAAUACCAGCACGGUCACCCAUGACCUAAAACUAGGAAGAAAAGCCUGGAGAUUUCCUUCUGAAAAUUAGCUGAUGAAAACCUUAUGGAUCACAACAGAGCACUGUCCGAUAUAGCACUGGGAAAUGAGCCGCUUAGGUUGGAAAGCACUCCAAAUAAAAAAUACCAACAAUUGUGAGGAUGGCGAGGACCCAGUGAUGUUCCGUUCUCUUCUACAUGGGGUCGCUGUGAGUCGGAGCCAACUCGAUGACAACCACAACAAUAACAACACAGCAAUCAGACAGGAAAUAGAUGAGCGGAAAUGGGAGAGCACCUACAGGGAGCAACUCCUCACAGCUCCAGCUGACACUCCCCAGAUCUGCUGUUGUUCGUGGAAAGCCAGUGUUUCAGUCAGCAUGGGCUAGGCUGUGCUGCAGUGACAAAAAUCCCAUACAUCUCAAUGGCUUAACACAACACAUAAAUUUAUUCUCAUCUACACAUUGUCUCUUCAGUCUGGGUGGCCCUCCAGGGCAGCCAGCCUCCAUGUGGUGACUUGGCAAUCCAAAUCAAUUAGAUUUCAUGGUUGUCUGACUCGAAUGAGGCCGCCAAGGGAAAUGGAAGAUUUGCACAGGAAAUUUUCACUGCUGGACUCCAGAAGUCACAUGUCACUUAUGCUUGCAAUCUAUUGUCCAAAGCUAGUCAUGUGACUCCACCCAACUGAAGGAUGUUGGGAAAUAGAGUAUUCCCAUGCCCAAGAAGGGGAGGAAAUUCAGAUAAUGGUGAAUAAGGACAAUGUCUACCACAGCUGGAAUGUGACCUGUCCUAAUUGUUUCACCUAGGUGCUUUUCUGAACACUGUGCUGAUCCUGGCUGGUGCAAAGGGUUAACGUGCUCAGCUGCUAACCAAAAGUUCGAAGGUUCAAGUCCACCCAGAGGCACCUUGGAAGAAAGGCCUGGAGAUCGCUUUCUGAAAAAUCAGCCAUAGAAAACCCUGUGGAGCACAGUUCUCCCCUGACAGGCAUAGGAUCGCCAUAAAUAAGUCAACUUGAUGGCAACUGGUUUGGUUAUGUUGACCAAAAUAAAGCACACAUGUAGGCCACCUGCUCGUCGUCGGUGGAAACGGACAAGAUAGGAUCUGUCCUCAUAGAGCUUCCACUGCUGAGCACUACCAAGGAGGACAGGGGGCCCCAAGAGCAGUGUGCUGGGGCCCAGACCAAGACUCCAUCCAGGGGAGGAAAGAGAUGUUCCACUAUGCUGCGAGUAAGCCCAAGCAGCCCAGAACCCUGGUCCAGAGCCCCAGCUGAGCUCCCAGUCAACAGCCUACACCAACUUCCCAGCCACAUGAGUGCGACAUCUUGGAAGCGGAUCCUCCAGCCCCAGCCAACUCACCCUAGCUGGUGCCAUGGUGGACAAAGCUGCCACCAACGAAGUACCACAGAGAGUCACAGAGCCACACAGAGGGAAGAAGCUCACACGAAGACGGAGGCAGUGGCUGGAGUGAUGCUGCCACAAGGUGAGGAAAGCCUGGGGCCACCAGAAGCCAGCAGAGACAAGGAGGGAUCCUCCCCUAGAGCCUACGGAGGAAGCCUGGCCCUGCUGACACCCUGAAUUUAGACUCCUGGCCUCCAGAACUGUGAGACAAUACAUUUCUGUCACUAUUUCCAAAUAAGGUCACCUUCUGAGGUCCCAGGGGGACAGGAAUUGUUGGAAGACACUAUUCAGCCAGAACAGUCUCCAAUCUGAGAUGGAUUCUUUUACCUCUAAUCUGAGAUGGAUUAUUUUACUUAUUUAUUUAUUUGGCAGGCAUUUUCUUAAGCCCUGUG